rnacentral:rRNA from 1 species
GACGAACGCUGGCGGCGUGCCUAACACAUGCAAGUGGAGCGACGAACCAGGGCUUGCCCUGGGGCGAAGCCGCGAACGGGUGAGUAACACGUGGGUAACCUGCCCCGAUGACUGGGAUAACCCGAGGAAACUCGGGCUAAUACCGGAUAUGCCCCCUCACGAGAGUGAGGUGUGUAAAGGAAGCUUCGGCCUCCGCAUUGGGAUCGGCCCGCGGCGCAUUAGCUUGUUGGUGGGGUAACGGCCUACCAAGGCAACGAUGCGUAGCUGGUCUGAGAGGACGAUCAGCCACACUGGGACUGAGACACGGCCCAGACUCCUACGGGAGGCAGCAGUGGGGAAUCUUGCGCAAUGCGCGAAAGCGUGACGCAGCAACGCCGCGUGGGGGAAGACGGCCUUCGGGUUGUAAACCC